GACGCUCCUAUCCAUUCAGUAACAUCCUCAUGUGGAGACAUUCCUGUCUUCAGAGCACCUGCUUGGUACCCAGACACCGUGGGGCUGAGAAAGUGUCCUUGAAAGGGUCUUGCGUGAGGAGAGCCCACUGCUGCGGUGAUUGUGUCACUCUUGUUGAGGCAGCCCAGCUGUGUUCUGCAUGACUGAAUCGGACACCUCUCACUUCCUCUGUGAACGGAACUUGGUGUUUGGGUGACGUGCAGGCUCAGUGGCUGGACUGUGACCCACACUGAUGAACGAAUCCUCCAGGAAUGAGACUCCUUUGGAGUUAUUGGCUGGUGAAAAUAAGCAAAGGACUGCAAAGAUCCACGGGUCAUGUGAGGCAGUCUGGUCUGCGGCAGCUGACAGCAGAGACUCCAGGAGGCCAAGGAAGGCACCCGCUCUCCUCCCACGGGUCUGGUGGGUCUAAUUUGCCUGAAUCCAGUGGAAGAUAAACAGGCAGUGGGUAUGGUGUGUGAAGCCAGAGGCCCACAUCCUGAGAACUGGGGCAUCACUGAUGCUCUCUGGGCCUCCCCUUCCUGUCUGGGGGCGACUUUAACACCCACCUCAGAGUGAUGUUUGGAGGAUUAAAGGAACAUGACUUAGCACAGUGCCUGGCACACAGUGGGUGCUCAGGGCAUGUUCAUUCCCCCUCUUCCCCUUCCCUCUCCCUUACUCUUCCUCUGUUUGCACUGCCUCCAGGAUGAGGCUGUCACCUCAGGGACUCUCCAGCACUUGAGGCCUCUCUCUCCCUCCCCACCUUCCUGAGCAGUCACAGAGUGCUGCAGAUGCUCCUGCCCUUGCACCUGGCUUCCCUGCUUCUUCCCCAAGCAUGCUGCUGUGCCAGGUCUCUUGUCUCUGGUCUGUAUUCCAG
ensembl:lncRNA